ACUCUGAGAGGUGCUAUACAAGUGCGGGUCAUUUAUCAUUUUUCCCAAUAAUCUGGCAGAAAUGACUUAGAAGCUUGUUUAAAGCAGCGUUGUUGACUUCUUAAGCGUUUCAGGAAGUAAGACUCUGUGAUACAAUCGUUUAUGCAACUAAAGCCUUGAUGGAUCAAAUUCCUUAACCUUAAAUGUUAUGGUUAGAGAUGUUCUCAUACCUGUCUUACUAAAGAGAAAUAUUAUUACAUCACAGAGACUAAAUUAACUUAUUUAAUAUACUUCAUGAAUCAUUCUUAUUGGUAAACAGGGAUGAGGCUGAUAUUUAUAACUCUGAUGCUUGAUUUUAGACUUAAAAUACUUUAGAAAUUAGAUUAGUUUUAUUUGCAGCCCACGAUAAAUCAGAUCGUCCUGGUUUUUAUCAAAAGUGCUGUUUUUUCUUGUUUUGUUUUUUUUCUUGUCUGAUUCUUUGUGAUUUCCGUCUCUGGCAGGUGGCAAAGGUGGAGUACGUACGACGGCGGCCAAAGCUGAGGGAGGUGCCGGUGACCCUGGAGGAUCACUUAGAGUGUGUCUGUACCAAUAAACAGCACAUCGACCUGAACCCUGACACAGAUAAUGGCAUCAGAUGAAGAGGAACAACCUGGUGACUCAGUGUAGGAAAGACAAAGAUCUAAACAAGAACCACCCAGAACAUCCUCUCAGCUGUAAAUCAACCAGCAGGAGUAAUGGAGUCUAACAAUAUUAUGGGAUGUUUGGCAUUCUCACAGAGGACGAUGAUUUCUCAGUGAAGAGAAGAAACUUGUCAGCCCAACAGAACUGAUCUGGGAUCUGUGACUCUGGGAAAAAUCUUACCUGUCCUGAUCUUUCACAUUAGUGGGACUGAUAUUUUAGGUUGGACUGUUUUUUCCACAAAUAGUGACAUGGGAUUGGUUUUGUUACUCCUUCCUCUGUAAAAACAGAAAAUAAACUCACUCAUGCAUUCAUAUCUUUAUGUUUUUAUAACAUUAUGCUUUUAUUGCUGUUUGUUUAUAUUUCUGGUUUAUUUUCUGCAUUAGGAUUAAAAAUGUGGAGACACGUUACUGACAAUAAAGUCUAUAUAUGAAACAAA